GGCUCAGAUUGAACGCUGGCGGCAUGCUUUACACAUGCAAGUCGAACGGUAACAGGUUAAGCUGACGAGUGGCGAACGGGUGAGUAAUGCAUCGGAACGUGCCCGGUCGUGGGGGAUAACGCAGCGAAAGCUGCGCUAAUACCGCAUACGAUCUGAGGAUGAAAGCGGGGGACCGUAAGGCCUCGCGCGAUCGGAGCGGCCGAUGUCAGAUUAGCUAGUUGGUGAGGUAAUGGCUCACCAAGGCGACGAUCCGUAACUGGUCUGAGAGGAUGAUCAGUCACACUGGAACUGAGACACGGUCCAGACUCCUACGGGAGGCAGCAGUGGGGAAUAUUGGACAAUGGGCGAAAGCCUGAUCCAGCCAUGCCGCGUGUGUGAAGAAGGUCUUCGGAUUGUAAAGCACUUUAAGUUGGGAGGAAGGGCAGUAACCUAAUACGUUAUUGUUUUGACGUUACCGACAGAAUAAGCACCGGCUAACUUCGUG
rnacentral:rRNA from 1 species